rnacentral:misc_RNA from 1 species
UUAGUGAAAAACAUUGUUUAAUAAUAGUUUAUUAUGGAAACAAAGUAUUCAGCUAUGUUACUCCUACUAUAUCUCAUGGGGAACACAAUGGUUGAGGGAAAAACACAAGUUUCUGUUCAAUUUACAACAUUCCGCAAUCCUCGUUCUAAAGAUUAUGAUGGCGAGUGUUGCGACAACCUUGGAAGUUUGUGGUGUUUUAUAGAAUGUGAUAACUGGUUUAAGUUUUGUUUCACUACAUUACCUAUUGAUAGCAAAAAACCAUGUAUUUACAAUGUCACAACAUAUGUUUUGGGGCAUGAUAGUUUCUACUUUUGGUUUGGUCAAAGUAUUGGAAAAAAUGUUUAUAAUCCAAUUCAGUUUUUUUACGAUGGAAGCUUUAAAGGUUUUGGUUUUAAAGGUGAAGUAUGGGAUGAUGAUAGCAAAAACUUUUUGGGAGUUGGAAGAGCCGAUGAUUUAGUUGAUAAAUACUUUACAAACAUAGAUGUUUCACCAGUAUCUAAGGAAGUUCAAGCUUUAGUUAAUGGAAGGCGUACUAACCUUGGAAUGCUGAUUAGGACAAGUUGUGUGAAAGAUUGGUAUGGUAAAGAUUGUGACAACUAUUGUUCAUUGCAAGAAAGUGAUAAAGGUCACUUCACAUGCAAUCCUGUCACAGGUGCAAAAAAAUGUAAUACAGGAUGGAGUGGUCAUUUUUGUGAUGAAGCAAUUUGUGCUAAGAACUGCGACCAAGGAAACUGCUCAAUACCAGGAGAUUGCAAGUGUUUUGAAGGAUGGCAAGAUAGCGAUGAUGGAAGAUGUAACAAGUGUUUAAAAAGAAGUGGUUGUGUAAAUGGUUAUUGUAUCAAAGGCAAUGAUUGUAUCUGUCAUGAUAAAUGGAGUGGGUAUCUUUGCGAUGAAGACUUGGAUUCAUGCAGAAACUUGCCUUGUGAAAAUGAUGCCAAGUGUCUGAAUAUUGGUCCCAAUAGUUUUACUUGUAAUUGUAAUGAUGGUUAUUAUGGCAAAAACUGCUCUCAAGAGCUUAACGCUUGUGUUAUCAAUCCAUGUCAAAAUGGAGCUGCGUGCAUAAACAAAAGAACUGAUUAUAUUUGCUCUUGUCCUCCAGGGUAUGAUGGCAAGAACUGCUCUAUAAACAUAGAUGAUUGUGCCAAUAACUUGUGUCAAAAUGGUGGAACCUGUAUUGAUGGAGUUAACUUUUACACAUGCAAAUGUUUACCUGGAUGGGAAGGCACAUUCUGUAUAAUUAAUAUUGAUGAUUGCUUAGUUAAUGAAUGCAAACACAACUCAACAUGUCAAGAUGGUAAUGCAAACUAUAGCUGCUUAUGUCGGAGUGGUUAUAAAGGUGAAAGAUGUGAAAUCAAUAUUGAUGACUGUAAUCCAAAUCCCUGCUUAAAUGGAGGAAAUUGCACUGAUAAAAUUAAUUCAUUUGAAUGUAACUGCUCAGCUGGGUUUCUCGGAAGAACUUGUUCUAGUAAAGUUGAUUACUGCUUUGAUAAUCCAUGUGGAGAGUAUGGAAACUGCACAAGUGUUAAUAACAACUACAUAUGCAGUUGUAAACCAGGGUUUGGUGGCAAAAAUUGUGAAACUAAUAUUGAUGAUUGUGUCUUGGGUAUAUGCAACAAUGGGACUUGUAUUGAUGAAAUUAAUUCCUAUAAAUGCAAAUGUAAAGAUGGUUUUGAAGGUUCAACGUGUAAUAUAAAUAUUGAUGAUUGUGCCAAGAAAGAAUGCUUAAAUAAUGCAUCUUGUAUUGAUGGUAUUAAUGAUUACACAUGUGUUUGUAAUCCUGGAUGGAUUGGUAGAACUUGUUCACAAAACAUAAAUGACUGUGUUAUUCCAUGUGCUUCUGGUCAGGUUACUGACUUGGUGUGCACAAAAUCUCCAUGUGAAAAUGGAUUAUGUGUUGAUCUUGUUAAUAAUUUUUCUUGCAACUGUUUUCCUGGGUUUAAAGGGCGGUUUUGUGAUUUAAAAAUAAAUCACUGUGCAGAAAAUAAUUGUUUAAAUGGUGCAACUUGUAUUAAUCAGUUAGAAGAUUAUAUCUGCAUUUGUCCUGUUGGAUAUUCUGGUAAAAACUGUAGUAUCAACAUAAAUGAUUGUUUGCCAGAUCCAUGUUCUAAAGUUGGUUCAAGAAAGUGUUUUGACGGAAUAGCUUCAUUUAAAUGUGAUUGUAAAGAUGGAUUUACAGGAACACUCUGUGAUGAAAAUAUCAAUGACUGUGAUCCUCGAAAAGAUGUUAAUGUUAUAGAAGGAAUGGAUUUGACAUCAUGGGGGCUUUGUGGUCAACAUGGUGUUUGUGUGGAUUUAAUAAAUUCAUUUCAAUGUAACUGUUCUAAAGGUUUUGAUGGAAAAUAUUGCCAAAUAGACAUCAAUGAAUGUUCUCUUAAUCCUUGUAAUAAUGGAGGCUCUUGCUUUGAAGUAGAAACUGACUCAAGAUUUUAUUGUGUAUGCCAACCUGGUUUCUCAGGUCACACUUGUGAGACUGAUAUAAAUGAAUGCUUGAAAAAUGAUUGCUGUUCCAACUCUGAUUGUGUUGACUUGGUCAAUGGUUACAUGUGCAAAUGUAAAAAUGGUAUGAAAGGUAUUGAUUGUUGUUCAGCAUCAUCGUGGUGUGUAAACAAUAAUACAUGUUUUAAAAAUGGCGUCUGCAAAGAAGGAAAUGAUACAUUUGUAUGUGACUGCUUUCCUGGCUUUACUGGACAGAGAUGUGAAUCAGACAUUAAUGAGUGUGACACAAAUAAAUGUGAGGGAGGAUCAACUUGUUUGAAUCUCUAUGGAAACUACACAUGUUUAUGUCCUCCUGGAAAAACUGGGUUUGAUUGUAAAUCAGAAAUUGAUGAUUGUAUUAACGUAGUUUGUUUAAAUAAUUAUACAUGUAUUGAUCAAUCACUGUCAUUCAGAUGUGAUUGUCCUUUAGAAGGUUUUACACAGCCAUUUUGUCAAGAUAUUGAUGAGUGCACGCAAUUAACACACAACUGUUCAAUUGAUCGUAAAUGUGUAAAUACAGUUGGUGGAUUUCGAUGUGAUUGUGCAGAUGGAUGGACAGGAGAUAAAUGCCAGAUUAGUGUUGAUGAUUGUAUUUCUAAUGAAUGUAUGGCGAACCACACAAUCAGUUGUAUUGACUAUCAUAAAUCAUACAAAUGUGAUUGUUUUGGUCAAUGGGAAGGACCUUUUUGCACUGAAAGUAUGUUAAUUUGGUUCUAAGAAUUAUAACAAGAUGAUAACAAGGAAACACCUCAUUAAUGGAUACUUGUGGAUGUAAAAAUGGUGUUUGUGUAUUAACAAAAGAAAAGUUAAAAGUUUGUCAAUGUGAUAAUGGCUUCAAAGGUUCAAAAUGCACUCUUUCUACUUAUUCCGCUGCAGAAAGAAUUACUGAUAAUUCCCCUGUCAUAAUUGGUACUUCAGGAGUUGUACUUUUGGUUGUCAUUGCUGUUGUUUUAAUUUUAUUUUUAA